CACUGCCCCCGUGAUGCCCACUGCCCCUGAGUGACCAUUACCUCGGAGUGCCCACUGCCGCAGAGUGACCACUCCCCUCGGAGUGCUGACUGCCCCUGUAGUGACCAUUACCCCCGUGGUGCCCAUUACCCCUGGAUGACCAUUACCCCUGUGGUGCCCAUUACCCCCGUGAUGCCCACUGCCCCUGAGUGACCAUUACCCCCGUGGUGCCCAUUACCCCCAUGAUGCCCACUGCCCCUGAGUGACCAUUACCCCUGGAGUGACCAUUACCCCCGUGGUGCCCAUUACCCUGGUGUGACCAUUACCCCCAUGAUGCCCACUGCCCCGGAGUGACCACUACCCC